CUCUUCACUAGGAGGCAGUUGAUUCUGGAGGAGCAGAGCUGGCCCCACAUAAAGGCGUCAAACUGAAAAGCACCACCGUGAAAACAGUAGUGAAAGGCCAGGUGUCUCCCGUUACAAGAGGGGCACCACGCUUGCCGCAUUUUUGUAACUGGGGUGAGUUGGACUCUUUCUUGAAGAAGGAAGACAUUGUAGAAAUGCACCCUCAGCCCUGAGAUGUCACCAGCCAUUUCUACUGGCCAGUCUUCCAGCAGCUUAUCAAUUUUACCUCCUCCCAAUAGAAGAGACAAGCUCCCAUCUACCUGGAAGGCCAAUCCAUACUCCGUGUGCCUCCAGUGACUGGAGUAACACAGCACAAAAGCCACUCCAGUCUGAAGACCUAUUCAGUCUCAACUCAAAGGACUGUCUCAGGGAGGACCGUGCUCCCAGGAUUUCAUUGCUUCCUACAAUAUCUGUUUUCAGUGGCUAGUUCCUAUUUUUCUCCAAAGCCAGCCACCUGCUACCCAGUUAUGAAUAGCUCAACAAGUCACCCAUGAGAAUUCCUUUCUGACCAUAUUUAAGCACAAUGAACUGAAAGCAAGUUAAGGCAUGCCUGGAUUCCAUUAUUUCCAGAGGCAAAUGGGCGCGGUUCUUGAUGACGCUUUUCCAGGAAGUCUUCACGUCUAGGUGACAACAGUAACAGUAGAAGGCCAUAUUCCAAGAGAGCAGUGGGAUGUUGGCAUUCUGUUGGUAAGAAGGGCCCCCAAAGUCGAUGGUUUGCAGUGAGGAGUAGAUCAAAACCUGAGCCCGGAUCCGAGGAAGAUCUGCCUGGUUCACAAAUGUUUGACAAACCACAGUGGCUGCAUUCCCUCCUACGCUGUCACCGCAGACCACUACCCGAGCUGGGUCCACUCCAUACACAUGCAAUGAUUUCAGAAACUGGGUGGUGGCUGCCACGCAGUCCUCUUUCAUUACUGGGUACUUGUACUGGGGAGACUUUCGGUAUCUAAAGAGGAAUGAAGGACCAUAGAUUAUGCUCAAUGCUUACUCAAACCCAAAGAACCCUUGUCUAACGUCUUAUAUCUCAAAUCCCUUUUUGAAGCCUGAAUAGGAGGAGAUAGGCAAGGACCCAAACACAUAGUAGACAUAAAGCCUUCUUGCUUGCCAUUUAGCUCAGAGGAAGCAAUUGCCAUCCACUGAGAAUGGAUGGGAUGUUGUUUAGAUGUUUCAGUGGCACUGUAGGCUUUAGGCAGAGGAGAUGUUACCUGUCUGCACGGACAGGGCUGUUAGACCUAAGGAAUUCUUCCAAACAAAAUCAAAGUGCCACCCUCAUUCCCAUCAGCUCCAAAAGACAGGGUUAAAUGAUGCCUUUAUCCACAAAUAUUUCAUGCACUAAGGAAGGGGGUCUAGUCCACUAUCCCUCUCUCCUCCAUUCCUUGCUUCUCCUUAGUGGGUUCUCACAGCCCAGCCCUCCCCCAUUCUCCUCACCAAAUCCAUCUGCUUCAGGUUCAACCUUCAGACCCCAUCACUACAAAUCAGGGCUAUCUGCCUAUGUGCUCCCAUUGUCCCCUUCCUUACCCGACUGCCACAACAACAGAGUCACAGUCCUUGGACAAACGUAAGCAUAUGCUAUGGUGGGUUCCUAGAAAACAAAAUCAAACAUCACAUUUACUAGGACAUUUUCCUUCAGCCUUCAUGGCCAUUCUCCUAUUGUAAAUAGAGUGCCCGAGUUAGCUGAGAAGGUCAUAAAGUAGCUUCUGACUGUUGAGUAAAUAUCCUUCCAACUUCUUACUGUUUUGCUUCUGUGAGCUACAAGGACAAUGUUCUCCAAGAUGCCCAUGACCUGAUGUACUCUACCACUUAUCAAAAACAUCCAAAAGUGAAUCGAUUGCAGUGGCUCAGUGUGUGAUAGUGGUAUUCUCAUAUCAAUUUAAGAACAGGCCAGACCAUUGCAUAAUAUGCCACCAAAGUGAUCUGUGCCUACUCAUGGCCCUGGGCUUUCUUGGUCAUAACAGUAGACUGUCUACCAGGGAGAAUGACCAUCCUUAUUUUAAGACUUACUUUAUUUUUACUUGUGUGUAUGUGUUGUGCACACAUGUGUGAAGGUGUCCAUGGACACCAGAAGAAGGAGCUAGAUCACUUGGAGCUAGAGUUACAGGCUAGAGUUGUAUGAUGCCCCAGAUGAGUACUAGGAACUAAACUUGGGUCCUCUGGAAGAGCAGAAAGUGUUCUUAACUACAGAGCCAUCUCUCCAAUUACCACAAAAUGACCAUUCUUUCAAGCCCAUUUAUCAGGGUGACAGGGGGCUUGAAGAAGCCAGAAGAAAGGCUUUCUUACUCAAGCUCCCCAGGAUGGUUCCACCACCAUGGAAGAAGAUGAUGCCAGGCCUAAGGGUAGAGGAGGAUUCCUUGGGCUGAUAUAGUUUCACAGGGAUUGUCCCAAAGCGAAGAUCUGUGACCACAACAUCAGGAUCUCUCUUGAGUGGCUUCAGAUCAUGCACAAAACUGGCAAACUGGGGUGCAUAACACAGUCCCAGCUUCUCAAAAAUCAUCCCCUGUCAGAGAGAGAAGAGGCAAUGGGUUGAGAAGGAUUAUGAAUCAGUCAUUUUACAUGCAGCCUGAAGCCUGUCAGACACGUUACCCUCCCCAGGUGCCAAGAAGAAGCUUGGGAAAUAUUGAUCAGACUCGACCACAGACCUCCUGCAUUUCCUCCCUCUCUGAACAUGCUCAUGAGGCACCUGCAGUUAAAUCCACACCUACCUAGGCCAUGUGGCUCCAUCACCAGACCCACUCCUCCCAAUCAUACUCUUCCUAGACACUUAACAUGCCAAACAUGACAAACCAGGCUUCUGGCCAACCCUUUUGAAGACACCUGCUCUACCUGGCAUAUGGACAUGGUCUUCUCUCCAGGGAAGACACCCUGAGUCUCCCAAAUAUUGAUUGCUAUGGAGGUGAUGUUUUUGAAGAGGGAAAGAGGGGUGUUUUCUUAUUUUUCUAUGGCAUCUACUGAAAUAUUUUUCGAAAAUAUGUGAUGUGAAAGGUGUUUCUUUUUAGGAAAAUUAAGAAUGAAGGGGGAAGUCAGAAGGUGUACGUGUUUGACUGGGGUCAGCGAUAUCAAUGUUGAUUGUUGCAAAUGAGGCUUCUUCAGGUUAUUGUGUUAUCUUUGAGAUCUAGCUAAAGGUUUUAAAAAUAAAUAUAAAUGUUAAUAAACAACAACAUCCUUCUAUAUCCAUAGCCUCACUCAGCCAUCAUCAGAGAUGCUUCCUCCUGCAGGAGAUGGGAAUGAAUACAGAGACCCACAACUGGGAAAUGUGCAGAAAGCAAGAGACCUUGGAUGGGAUGUCUCCAUCAAAACCCUCCCCUGAGGGCUCAGGAGGAAGGGGAGACAGAAAGACUGUAACAGCCAGUGGGGAUAGUCAUAUCUUCCAGGCAGAACAGGACCAGCGUACAUACAAACUCACAUAGACUGUGCACAGCAGCAUGCACAAGGCCUACACAUAUCCGUGCUAGAUAGGGUCCCGGUGCUCAGAGGGGAAAUAAACACAAGCCCCAUCCCUAACCAAGACACCAUCUACAAUUGACAACCACUCCAAAAGGAAAAAUGAGUUGUCUCCAUUGGAGUCUCAAUGGGUAUACAAGCCACACUUUAGGGCAGUUCCACACCCAGAAGUGGAUGGGCAACACAAAAUAAACUCAAUGAUGUUUUUGGA